rnacentral:misc_RNA from 1 species
AGCAGCCGCGGUAAUUCCAGCUCCAAUAGCGUAUAUUAAAGUUGUUGCAGUUAAAAAGCUCGUAGUUGAAUUUCGGGAUCAAGGAAUCGGUCAUGCCUCGGUAUGUACUGGUUUUAUUGGUUCUCACCUUCUAAAGAACCAUGAUGUCAUUCAUUUGAUGUUAUGGGGAAUUAGGACUGUUACCUUGAAAAAUUAGAGUGUUUAAAGCAGGCUUACGCUUGAAUACAUUAGCAUGGAAUAAUGAAAUAGGACAUCAGAUUCUAUUUUGUUGGUUUCUAGGAUCGAUGUAAUGAUUAAUAGGGAUAGUUGGGGGCAUUAGUAUUCAAUUGUCAGAGGUGAAAUUCUUGGAUUUAUUGAAGACUAACUACUGCGAAAGCAUUUGCCAAGGAUGUUUUCAUUAAUCAAGAACGAAAGUUAGGGGAUCGAAGACGAUCAGAUACCGUCGUAGUCUUAACCAUAAACUAUGCCGACUAG